UACGUAGGGCGCAAGCGUUAUCCGGAAUUAUUGGGCGUAAAGAGCUCGUAGGCGGUUUGUCGCGUCUGCCGUGAAAGUCCGGGGCUCAACUCCGGAUCUGCGGUGGGUACGGGCAGACUAGAGUGAUGUAGGGGGAGACUGGAAUUCCUGGUGUAGCGGUGAAAAUGCGCAGAUAUCAGGAGGAACACCGAUGGCGAAGGCAGGUCUCUGGGCAUUUAACUGACGUGAGGAGCGAAAAGCAUGGGGGAGCGAACAGG
rnacentral:rRNA from 1 species